rnacentral:rRNA from 1 species
AGUGAACGCUGGCGGCAGGCCUAAUACAUGCAAGUCGAACGGCAGCACGGCAGAGCUUGCUCUGUGGGUGGCGAGUGGCGGACGGGUGAGGAAUACAUGGGAAUCUGCCCAGUCGUGGGGGAUAACGUAGGGAAACUUACGCUAAUACCGCAUGCGCCCUUCGGGGGAAAGCCGGGGACCUUCGGGCCUGGCGCGAUUGGAUGAGCCCAUGUCGGAUUAGCUAGUUGCGGGGUAAUGGCCCACCCAAGGCGACGAUCCGUAGCUGGUCUGAGAGGAUGGAUCGGCCACACUGGAACUGAGACACGGUCCAGACUCCUACGGGAGGCAGCAGUAGGGAAUAUUUGGACAAUGGGCGCAAGCCUGAUCCAGCCAUGCCGCGUGAGUGAAGAAGGCCCUCGGGUUGUAAAGCUCUUUUGUCCGGAAAGAAAGCGCCGGGUUAAUACCCUGGUGUACCUGACGGUACCGGAAGAAUAAGCACCGGCUAACGUUCGUAGCCCAGCCAGCCGCGGUAAU